CCUGCGCGAAAGCGUUAGCGCUCCGAUCCAGAGCUGCUGAGCAAGUGCAGCUACCGGCUUCCAGUCAACUCCACCAAUGAGAAUCAUCCUAUUGACAUUUUCUCAUCAAAUUCAAGUGCUUUUGCACCAUCAAGUACACGGCCAUUCGUUCCUUGUGUGUCCUCGGUUUCAUCACUAUUUCCAUGGUUUCCAUUGAAGAAUACUAUCCAAAUGAUGGACAAGAAAAGUGUCGGCCAUUUUAGAACAUAGGUUGAGUGUAGCUGAAAGUUUGAGCCAAUCAAGUGCAGUGAAGAACAAUCCAGGAUUACGGUUUUAGAAACUUUGGAGCCUCUUAAAAAAGGGGUGGAUGGACCCUUAGGUCCCGGCCUACAAUGGUAGGGGUAGGACAACCCACCCCUAAGCUGUUUCGGUGUGCAACUUUCCUCUCACUCCCACUGGUCCGUAAAAGCACAUAACAGAAGCCGAAGAAAAGGACAAGGGCGGUGCCUCUUUGGGCCCUGCUUUCUUUGCAGCCCCUUUAAAACAGGGUAUGCAACACAGGUGCAGAAGGGAAGUUCAGCGGACAUUUCCUGGGAUCCAAAAACCAAUUUCGGAGAAGAAAAAGGUUUACUAUUAAACAUGGCACGAGUGGCACUUAUCUAGUAGGGCUUCAAAUCAGCUAGAAGGAUACAUAAAGAAGAGAACUUCCAGUGGUGAACAAGUUCGAACAAGGAAAUCACUAAUGAAGCAGUAGAGCGUUAAAGAACUUGCUCAUUCUGCCCAACCAAGUGGUCGUAGAAGUUGUAGGCAACUUGGUUGAACUUGCAAGUUCGAAUCAGGCAAAGGUAACGGCAGCUGCACAUGCUUGGAACUUUAAUGGGAGGAGUUAUGGGCGGAGCAGCUGAAACCCUUUGGGACUGCGAUUUUUAAAUAAGGAUUUGCAUGUGGAUUAAUUUCUAUAUAAUAACGAUACAGGAUGUUCCAAAUUCGAGAAAUUUAAUACUCGAUUUGUUAAUUUGAACAUUCAUCGUACUUUUUAUUUUUUAUUUUUGUAGGGCAGGAGAUGGAUUCGAAUAUCAAAAGGAGAUGGAUUCGAACUGUGGCGAUCCAAUAUCGGCUGCAGCCACAAAUGUUGGAACUUUAAUGGGAGGAGCUGGGAUUUGGCUUAAAUUCUUAUAUAAAGGCCUGCAUACUUCCGCGGUUCAUCAGCAUGGUAUGGAAAUUGUCGAUUAUUUUUUUUAACUAAUACGAGCAACUUUCGCUUAUAACAUACAAGGUGUCCCAAAAUCAAUAUUCACGUGCGUGUUCAAAAUAGAAAUUCAACAUACGAGGUGUUUCUUAAUGAUCUGCCAAUAUUUUACGGGCGAGUUAGAAGAUUUUUUGAUUUCGAGCUUUUUAAUGUCUACUGGAGUUCCGGCAUGUAAAGAAAUAAAUCUUGAAUUUUUUUCUCUUGACCACAAGGCUGGACGAAAGGACUUGACAGUUUUAAUAUUUCUAGAACUUUUUCAGCAAAUUAAUUUAAAACCUUUUUCAUUUAUGCAUUCUGAUAAUUAGUAUUCCAACAGAAAAUACGGGAUCUUGACAUUUUAGGAUAAAAUUGGCAACGAAAUCAUACAAUUUUUCAAUUUUAUUGCUG